AUUGAACGCUGGCGGCAUGCCUUACACAUGCAAGUCGAACGGCAGCACGGGGGCAACCCUGGUGGCGAGUGGCGAACGGGUGAGUAAUGCAUCGGAAUGUACCCAGUAGUGGGGGAUAACUAGUCGAAAGAUUAGCUAAUACCGCAUACGCACUACGGUGGAAAGCGGGGGAUCGCAAGACCUCGCGCUAUUGGAGCAGCCGAUGUCCGAUUAGGUAGUUGGUGGGGUAAAGGCCUACCAAGCCUGCGAUCGGUAACUGGUCUGAGAGGACGACCAGUCACACUGGGACUGAGGAACGGCCCAGACUCCUACGGGAGGCAGCAGUGGGGAAUUUUGGACAAUGGGGGCAACCCUGAUCCAGCAAUGCCGCGUGUGUGACGAAGGCCUUCGGGUUGUAAAGCACUUUUGGCGGGAACGAAACGGCGCUUGCUAAUACCAGGCGCCACUGACGGUACCCGCAGAAUAAGCACCGGCUAACUACGUGCCAGCCGCCGCAGUAA
rnacentral:rRNA from 1 species